rnacentral:rRNA from 1 species
AGCGAACGCUGGCGGCAGGCCUAACACAUGCAAGUCGAACGAAGCCUUCGGGCUUAGUGGCGGACGGGUGAGUAACACGUGGGAACGUACCUUUUGGUUCGGAACAACUCAGGGAAACUUGAGCUAAUACCGGAUGAGCCCUUAGGGGGAAAGAUUUAUCGCCGAAAGAGCGGCCCGCGUUAGAUUAGCUAGUUGGUGAGGUAAAGGCUCACCAAGGCAACGAUCUAUAGCUGGUCUGAGAGGAUGAUCAGCCACACUGGGACUGAGACACGGCCCAGACUCCUACGGGAGGCAGCAGUGGGGAAUCUUGCGCAAUGGGCGAAAGCCUGACGCAGCCAUGCCGCGUGAAUGAUGAAGGUCUUAGGAUUGUAAAAUUCUUUUACCAGGGACGAUAAUGACGGUACCUUGAGAAUAAGCACCGGCUAACUACGUGCCAGCAGCCGCGGUAAGAC